GCUCAGGACGAACGCCGGGGGCGUGCUUAAAGAUGCAUGUCACGGGGGCCCACCGCUGGGCAACCGGCGAACGGGUGCGUAACACGUGAGCGACCUGCCCCGGUCAGGGGGAUAGCCGGCCCAACGGCCGGGUAAUACCGCAUACCCUUUCCGCCCCGCAUGGGGUGGCAAGGAAAGCUCCGGCGGACUGGGAGGGGCUCGCGGCCUAUCACCUAGUUGGCGGGGUAACGGCCCACCAAGGCGACAACCGGUAGCUGGUCUGAGAGGAUGGCCAGCCACAUUGGGACUGAGAGACGGCCCAGACUCCUACGGGAGGCAGCAGUGGGGAAUCUUGCGCAAUGGCCUAACGGCUGACGCAGCGACGCCGCGUGUGGGAGGACGCCCCUCGGGGUGUAAACCACUGUUGCCCGGGACGAACGGCCUUUUUCGAGAGGCGUGACGGUACCGGGUGAGGAAGCACCGGUUAAUCUCCUUGCCAGCAGCCGCGGUAAUACGGAGGGUGCGAGCGUUGUCCGGAAUCACUGGGCGUAAAGGGCGCGUUGGCGGUCCGGUAAGAGUGUGGUGAAAGCCCGGGGCUCAACCCCGGGUCGGCCCUGUGAACUGCGGGACUGGAGCACAGUAGAGGCAGGCGGAAUUCCGGGUGUAGCGGUUGAUUGCGUAGAGAUCCGGAAGAACACCGGUGGCGAAGGCGGCAUGCUGGGCAGUAGCUGACGCUGAGGCGCGACAGCGUGGGGAGCAAACAGGAUUAGAUACCCUGGUAGUCCACGCAGUAAACGAUGGGCAAUAGGUGCUUGGGGGAGCGACCCUCCGAGUGCCGGCGCUAACGCAUUAAGUGCCCCGCC
rnacentral:rRNA from 1 species